rnacentral:tRNA from 1 species
UCGCUGGAGGACUAGUGGUUAGGUCACGGCGCUCUUACUGUUGUGGCCCGGAUUCGAUUCCCGGCCCUUUGAA